rnacentral:piRNA from 1 species
UCUGCGGGUACAGCGAUGAACAGGGCAGA